rnacentral:rRNA from 1 species
UACGGAGACUGCGAGCGUUACUCGGAUUUACUGGGCGUAAAGGGUGCGUAGGUGGUCAUGUGUGUCGGAUGUAAAAUCUCGGGGCUUAACCCCGAAUUGCGUUCGAAACUGCGUGACUGGAGUACUGGAGGGGCAAGCGGAAUUUGGAGUGUAGCGGUGAAAUGCGUAGAUAUUCCAAAGAACACCGAAGGCGAAGGCAGCUUGCUGGACAGAAACUGACACUGAGGCACGAAAGCGUGGGGAGCAAAAA